rnacentral:lncRNA from 1 species
GCUGGGAUUACAGGCGUGGGCCACUGUGCCAGGCUCCAAAUCUUCAUUUGUGUUGUUCUUGUGUGGAAUGCCCUUCUUCAUCCCUUCCUAGUCUCCAAACUUUGUACACACUCAGUUGAACCCAUUUCGUGGGUCCCUGCUGAAGGCAUGCCACUUCUACCAAGCCUUUUCUCCAUAUUAUUCCCCUUUUUUGUCCUCUGAUGGCCUAAAUACGUUGCAGUAACACUCAGGUGCUUAUCUCUUACUCGUUGUCAUUUUUUUUUGCUGCAAAUGUGUUCAAGAAAUGUUUAUUAAACACCUAAUAUAUACCAGGUGCCUUGAUAGGAAUACCAGGUAGAGCAAGACAAAUGCAAACAUUGCCCUUAUUUCUUCAAAUAUUUUUUCUUUCCAUUCUCUUGCUCCUCUCCUUUGGUGUGACUAUUGGAGUCAUGUGCAUGUACAUAAUAUACAUGUAUAUUGAACUAACUGGCAUUGUCUCACAGCUCAGUGACGCUCUGUUCAUUUUUUUUUCAAGAUUUUCUUUAUGUUUCCUUUUGGAUAAUUGCUAUGUUUUCAUAUUCAUUAAUCUUUUUUCAAUAUCUAAUAUUGAAAUCCUGUCCAGUUCAUUCUUCAUAUAAAACAUUGUAGUUGUUGCCUCUACCAGUUUGAUUUGGGUGUGGGUGUGUGUCUUACAUCUUUUAUGUCUUAACAUGCUCAACUUUUCUGCAGCUUCUUAAACACAUAGACUACAAUUAUAAUGACAGUUUUAAUAUCCUUGUCUACUAAUUCUAUGAUCUAUGCUAUUUCUGGCAUAGUUUCUAUUGAUUGAUUUUUCUCUUCAUUACAGUUCAUAAUUUCCUGCUUCUUGCAUGCCUGGAAAUUUUUUUUUUUUUAACAAGAUGCUAGACUUUGUAAAAUUUACUUACUUGAAAAACAAUUUUGUUCUUUUGGGUUUUGAUUUUUUUUAGGUGGAACCAAUUCAGUCAUUUAUGUAGGGUUAAUUGUAUCCCACUACUAAGACAGUACCCUUCAAAGUUCCUUACCCCAUACCCAAAGUGAAUUAUGUGGUUUUUCUACUUUGGUAGGAACGGGAACUAUUCUUAGGAACUGAGUUUGUGGACUUUUUUUUUGCUCUUUUCCUUUCCCUGUCUGGUAAUUUAUUUCUUCUUCUUUCUUCCUUCUCCUUCUU